rnacentral:misc_RNA from 1 species
UUAAGUUCAGCGGGUAUCCCUGCCUGAUCCGAGGUCAACCGGAAAGACGCGAACGUCGGGGGGUCGCAGACACCGGCCGGGCCUCCAGAGCGGGUGACAAAGCCCCAUACGCUCGAGGACCGGGCACGGCGCCGCCACUGCCUUUCGGGCCCGUCUCCCAGGGGAGACGAGACCCAACACACAAGCCGCGCUUGAGGGCA